rnacentral:rRNA from 1 species
GACGAACGCUGGCGGCGUGCUUAAUACAUGCAAGUCAACUGAACUUAAGGUAGCAAUAUUUUAAGGGAGGUGGCGCACGGGUGAGUAACACGUAGGUAAUCUGCCCUUAGGUCUGACACAACCUACCGAAAGGUAGGCUAAUAUCAGAUGAUGCAGCGGCUCGACAUCGAGACAGUUGUUAAACCUUCGGGGCCUAAAGAUGAGCCUGCGUCUGAUUAGGUAGUUGGCGGAGUAAUAGCCCACCAAGCCUGCGAUCAGUAGCUGGUCUGAGAGGAUGAUCAGCCACACUGGAACUGAGACACGGUCCAGACUCCUACGGGAGGCAGCAGUAAGGAAUAUUGCUCAAUGGCCGAAAGGCUGAAGCAGCAACGCCGCGUGGAGGAC